rnacentral:lncRNA from 1 species
CGGCCGAUCUCUCGAUUCUCUCCCCCAUUUCUCUCGGUUCUUUCUCCCAUUCCCCAUUUCUCUAUCUCUCCCUCUCUCUAUGUGCAUGAGCGGCGGCCAAGCAGGGGCGGGAGGGGAGGUGCGGUGGGAUCGGACGGAUCUGGAGCCGUGGCACGGUGGCAACCAACGACGGGAGGAGAGGCGGUGGUGGCCUGAUGGCUGAGCCCUCCACCUCCGGCCACCGCUUACGCCACCACCCGUGGGCUCCGCCGCCUCUACUACCACCCGCACCUCCGCCUACACCUCCACCGGCCCAAGCUUGCAUGCGUCGGCCGGAUUUGGAGCUCCUCGGCGGAUCCGGGCCCGAACCGCCAGAUCUGACAGUGGUGAUGAUUUUUUUUUAUUUUGUUUUGUGCCCAAUGAUUGUGAAUGUGAAGUAAUUUUGUUCUUUGACUAGAUGAACGUGGUUGUGAUAUUUCUUGUGAUUCUGUUUUGUGUUUAAAUGAUUGUAAAUGUGAUUAUUUUUUGUGAUUUAUGAAUGCCUAAUGAAAGUCUAUGACUAGCUAUGCUUAUAAUUUUUUUACUGUCAUGUAUCUGUGUAUUCAGA